UACGAAGGGGGCUAGCGUUGUUCGGAAUUACUGGGCGUAAAGCGUGCGCAGGCGGUUCGUUGUGUCGGCGGUGAAAGCCCCGGGCUUUACCUGGGAAUGGCCGUUGAAACUGGCGAACUGGAGUGUGGCAGAGGGGGGUGGAAUUCCGCGUGUAGCAGUGAAAUGCGUAGAGAUGCGGAGGAACACCGAUGGCGAAGGCAGCCCCCUGGGCUAACACUGACGCUCAGGCACGAAAGCGUGGGGAGCAAACAGG
rnacentral:rRNA from 1 species